rnacentral:rRNA from 1 species
UGGGGAAUAUUGCACAAUGGGGGAAACCCUGAUGCAGCGACGCCGCGUGAGCGAAGAAGUAUUUCGGUAUGUAAAGCUCUAUCAACAGGGACGAAACAAAUGACGGUACCUGAAUAAGAAGCCCCGGCUAACUACGUGCCAGCAGCCGCGGUAAUACGUAUGGUGCAAGCGUUAUCCGGAUUUACUGGGUGUAAAGGGAGCGUAGACGGAUGGGCAAGUCUGAUGUGAAAAGCCCGGGGCUCAACCCCGGGACUGCAUUGGAAACUGUUCAUCUAGAGUGCUGGAGAGGUAAGUGGAAUUCCUAGUGUAGCGGUGUAAUGCGUAGAUAUUAGGAGGAACACCAGUGGCGAAGGCGGCUUACUGGACGGCAACUGACGCUGAGGCUCGAAAGCGUGGGGUAGCAAACAGGAUUAGAUACCC